rnacentral:rRNA from 1 species
UACGAAGGGGGCUAGCGUUGCUCGGAAUCACUGGGCGUAAAGCGCACGUAGGCGGCUUGCUAAGUCAGGGGUGAAAUCCUGGAGCUCAACUCCAGAACUGCCUUUGAUACUGGUGACCUUGAGUCCGGGAGAGGUGAGUGGAACUGCGAGUGUAGAGGUGAAAUUCGUAGAUAUUCGCAAGAACACCAGUGGCGAAGGCGGCUCACUGGCCCGGUACUGACGCUGAGGUGCGAAAGCGUGGGGAGCAAACAGG